rnacentral:rRNA from 1 species
UAGCUAGUUGGUGAGGUAAAGGCUUACCAAGGCGACGAUCUGUAGCGGGUCUGAGAGGAUGAUCCGCCACACUGGAACUGAGACACGGUCCAGACUCCUACGGGAGGCAGCAGUGGGGAAUUUUGGACAAUGGGGGCAACCCUGAUCCAGCCAUGCCGCGUGAGUGAAGAAGGCCUUCGGGUUGUAAAGCUCUUUCGGCCGGGAAGAAAUCGCAUGGGCCAAUACCCUGUGUGGAUGACGGUACCGGAAUAAGAAGCACCGGCUAACUACGUGCCAGCAGCCGCGGUAAUACGUAGGGUGCGAGCGUUAAUCGGAAUUACUGGGCGUAAAGCGUGCGCAGGCGGUUUUGUAAGACAGGCGUGAAAUCCCCGGGCUUAACCUGGGAACUGCGUUUGUGACUGCAAGGCUAGAGUACGGCAGAGGGGGGUGGAAUUCCACGUGUAGCAGUGAAAUGCGUAGAGAUGUGGAGGAACACCAAUGGCGAAGGCAGCCCCCUGGGUCGAUACUGACGCUCAUGCACGAAAGCGUGGGUAGCAAACAGGAUUAGAUACCCUGGUAGUCCACGCCCUAAACUAUGUCAACUAGGUGUUGGGUGGGUAAAACCAUUUAGUACCGUAGCUAACGCGUGAAGUUGACCGCCUGGGGAGUACGGCCGCAAGGUUAAAACUCAAAGGAAUUGACGGGGACCCGCACAAGCGGUGGAUGAUGUGGAUUAAUUCGAUGCAACGCGAAAAACCUUACCUACCCUUGACAUGCCAGGAACUUGCCAGGGAUGGCUUGGUGCCCGAAAGGGAGCCUGAACACAGGUGCUGCAUGGCUGUCGUCAGCUCGUGUCGUGAGAUGUUGGGUUAAGUCCCGCAACGAGCGCAACCCUUGUCGUUAAUUGCCAUCAUUUAGUUGGGCACUUUAACGAGACUGCCGGUGACAAACCGGAGGAAGGUGGGGAUGACGUCAAGUCCUCAUGGCCCUUAUGGGUAGGGCUUCACACGUCAUACAAUGGUCGGUACAAAGGGUUGCCAAGCCGCGAGGCGGAGCCAAUCCCAGAAAGCCGAUCGUAGUCCGGAUUGCAGGCUGCAACUCGCCUGCAUGAAGUCGGAAUCGCUAGUAAUCGUGGAUCAGCAUGUCACGGUGAAUACGUUCCCGGGUCUUGUACACACCGCCCGUCACACCAUGGGAGCGGGUUCCGCCAGAAGUAGGUAGCCUAACCGCAAGGGGGGCGCUUACCACGGCGGGGUUCGUGACUGGGGUGAAGUCGUAACAAGGUAGCCGUAGGGGAACCUGCGGCUG